UUAAAUGCCUUUGACUGAUCUCCCUCUACCCAAUGAAAUCGCUCUUUGAAAUUCGUUUUUUGGGCAACGGGAUGGCUUUUCGCCAGCUCAGAGAAAGUGCCACGACUCCACACUCAGCGGCUAUUCAGAAAGAGUGAAUAUUGGUGGUCGGGGCUUUGCGGAGGGACAAGAUUGAAAAAAGACAUGGACGUUUACGACUCCCAAACCCUCGGUUUCAUGGUCUUUGGUGGAUUCAUGGUAGUCUCCGCCAUCGGCAUUGCUCUGGUCUCCACGCUCUCCAUGAAAGGGACGUCGUACGGGGAGGCCCUGGCCAAGCACCGGCGCGAGCUGGGAAAGUCUGCCCAGACUCAGCUCUCUAUGAAGCAGAAGACGUUGGAGAACAAGAGCAAAGGCCAGAAGAAGGAAGAGCGGCCCAACGGGAUUCUCCCAGAACCGGUUGCAGAGUCCGCUAGCGAGCCCUAACCUGAGCCUCUCGCUGCCCCCGAGCUUGAACCAGAGCCCGUCAUUGCUGCCCCGGGGCCUGUCAUGGUCGCUUGUGCUGCUCCUACCCCAGUGGCCGUGGAGGCUGUUGCCCCCUCCCCGAAGAAGGUGGCCAAGGUGGCACCGGCACCUGCCGUCGUCCCGGAGACCAUAGCCAAGGAAGUGCCCGUCAUGGUCGUGCCACCUGUGGCGGUUGAGGUUGCCCCGGUGACUGCUGCGCCCACUCCGGUGUCCAGUGACAGUCCCGCCGCACCCUUUGCCAAGGCAGAGGAGCUCAAGGCUGAAGCACCUGCUACGAAUAAAAUAUCCAAGGCAGAGGCUGAGCCAGUGGUUGCUGACGUUGACUCUGCGACUGCUCCCCUCCUGCCAUACAAGACUCUGUCUGCUGUGAGCAGCAUGACAUUCAGUGAGGGAGAGACCCAAAAGGCUCAUCGAAGUGCUCAGUGACAAGGCUGGCCUCGACUCCUGGCAACUGGAGCUGAGCGCAGAGAAAUCGAAGAUGGCGACGGUCAAGAGAAAUCGAAGAUGGCGACGGUCAAGACCCAUCUGAGCUCAGAGUUGAGUGCUCACACUCAGGAGAACUGCCCUCCAGGCUCACAUGCAGGCCUCCUACCAGGACCACGUGGCUGAGACCCAGCAGCUCAAUCUCAAGAUAGCGAGACUGCAGGAACAGCUGGACAAUGGCCCCGUUGCUCAGAUGGCCUGCUUGCAGUAGGAGAACUCCAUCCUGAGAGACGCCCUCAACCAGGCCACCAGCCUGUCCGAGAUUAGGUAGAUGGGGAAAUAAGCAAUACAACUCCUAUUCUAUGGGGAAAUCUUGAGUUUUGUUCAUUGGGCACCCAAUAAUUUUAAAAUGGAGUGGAACUACCUGGGCUUUCCCCAAUAAGAAAUAUGAAUUUUCUUUUGUUGAAACAUUCUGCUAUGGUGUGCCCUAAUGAACACAACCCAGGUGUGGUCUACUCUUUAAAAUGCCCUUUUCUCAAUUCGACUUAAUUUGAUUCCUUAUCUCCUCUCUCCCUGCCACCACCAGGAGACAGGACUUGAGGAAUCAAGGAAAUCUGAAUUGAGAGAGGCGAAAAAAUGUCAGUGUCUUUGGAUGCUGUAGCCUCCGUAGUAAUCCAACUUGAAUAACACAUUCAAGAUGGCCAGCACUCACAAGUAGACUGUUAGACUGCUUUCAUUACAAAGAACUCUAAGAGAUAUUGUACCUGCAAGCUCUGGCCAUAAUUUUCAUUCAAGUACAGGGUUUCCCAGAGUGUGCACAUGUUUGAUUUAGCCCAAGAUUAAAACACCUGAUUCAACUCAUCAAGGGGUGAGAAUUAGUUCAUUUCUAGCACUUAAUUCCCUAAUACAACUGAAACAUGAAGUAAUAGGUUUGUUUUUUUGUUCAUAAGACAGUUAUAAACUCAUUAAGAUAUAUAAUUGUCUUUGGGUUGUAAAAUCAUAGAUUGUGUCUGAAAAUCUACACUUGAAGCUGUGUUGACACAGGACUGAAGCCCUGCAGGCUGACAAUGAGCACAGGAAGGCCCUGGAGGCCAAAGUGGCAGCUGCAGAGGAGCAACUUGCCCAGUUCCAGGAGGAGCCCGAGCAACCAAAGGAAGGGACAUCCAUCGAAGACUGAAUGAAUAUCCCACAACUUGCCAAAAUGCCUUAAUUAUUUUACAUAUUUCUUUUCCCCACUCUUUUCUCUUGUAUAGUAGUUUGUAGUCAAAUUAUAAUUUUGUAAAUGGAUGUGGAUUUCAGAAGCGUUUAAUAUUGUAUGCCUUUUUGUUAUGUUGGAACCAACAAUCAAUUGAGUCUC